rnacentral:misc_RNA from 1 species
AGAGUCGUAACCAAGGUUUCCGUAGGGUGAACCUGCGGAAGGAUCAUUUGAAAUGUGAUUGGUUAUACAUUUCAUGUAUCAACUGGCAUUAACCCAUUCCGAGUACCUUGCCUGUUGCUUCCAUGGGGCCUACCCUAGGGUCACUCUUGUGAUGUGAAACCCAAGAGAGUCCCCAUGGGAGGUAAUCAUUAAAUUCAUGUAUCCAAUGUCUUCUGUCUGAACUGUUUAUAACAAAUGUUAAAAU